CUUGCAGCCAUAUCAUAUUGAAAUACUGGUUCUCGUAUGAUCACUGAAGUUAAGUAACAUUGAGCCUGACAAGUAUCUGGAUGGGUUAUUGUUUGGGAAUACCAGA